GUUCCUGUAGCGCAAAGGGUAACGCGUUGGACUUCGUAUCGAAAGAUCGUGGUUUCGAAUCCCACCUGGGAUG